AUGUUCAGCUUUGCUCCUGAUCUAGAUGAACUAAAAACUAGGAAAAUCAGACCUCAAAUCAUUGUCAUCAAUAUACAAUUUUUAGGUUCAGGGGCAUACAUCAACAAUGUCUGGAAGUUGUAUUUUAGCAUUUCCCUUUUACCAAGCCAACUAUACUUCAAAGUUUCAUAUAAGUUUGCCAAAGUUGCAUUACAUAGUGUGCGGCUAGUGAGGCUGGCACUUACAAAUAAUAUGGAUGCUGACAAGUAUAAAUUCACAUAUGAAAGUAUAAUAAGAAAUAAAUUUUCUCACAGUCCGAGCAUUUAA
rnacentral:rRNA from 1 species